GCUUUGGUAUGAAGCCAGAAUUAUUGCCUUCCAUGCAGGAGGCCUAGGUUCGAUUCCUGGCCAAUGCA
rnacentral:tRNA from 1 species